rnacentral:rRNA from 1 species
AUUGAACGCUGGCGGCAGGCCUAACACAUGCAAGUCGAACGAGUGGCGGACGGGUGAGUAAUGUCUGGGAAACUGCCUGAGGGAGGGGGAUAACUUAUGGAAACGGUAGCUAAUAGCGCAUACCAGGAGGUGUGCCUAGAUGGGAUUAGCUUGUGGGUGGGGUAACGGCUCACCAAGGCGACGAUCCCUAGCUGGUCUGAGAGGAUGACCAGCCACACUGGAACUGAGACACGGUCCAGACUCCUACGGGAGGCAGCAGUGGGGAAUAUUGCACAAUGGGCGCAAGCCUGAUGCAGCCAUGCCGCGUGUAUGAAGAAGGCCUUCGGGUUGUAAAGUACUUUCAGCGGGGAGGCGUUACCCGCAGAAGAAGCACCGGCUAACUCCGUGCCAGCAGCCGCGGUAAUUC